GAUGAACGCUAGCGGCAGGCCUAACACAUGCAAGUCGAGGGAGGAGCCUUCGGGCUUCGACCGGCGUACGGGUGCGUAACGCGUAUACAAUCUGCCUUUCACAUAGGGAUGGCCCGAAGAAAUUUGGAUUAAUACCUAAUGGUAUAUAGAUGUGGCAUCACCUUUAUAUUAAAGCUGAGGCGGUGAAAGAUGAGUAUGCGUUCUAUUAGCUAGUUGGAGAGGUAACGGCUCCCCAAGGCGACGAUAGAUAGGGGUUCUGAGAGGGAUAUCCCCCACACUGGUACUGAGAUACGGACCAGACUCCUACGGGAGGCAGCAGUGAGGAAUAUUGGACAAUGGUCGGAAGACUGAUCCAGCCAUGCCGCGUGCAGGAAGACGGCCUUAUGGGUUGUAAACUGCUUUUGCAGGGGAAGAAUAAGGACUACGCGUAGUUUGAUGACGGUACUCUGCGAAUAAGCAUCGGCUAACUCCGU
rnacentral:rRNA from 1 species